rnacentral:rRNA from 1 species
AGCCUGAUCAGCCAUGCCGCGUGUGUGAAGAAGGCCUUUUGGUUGUAAAGCACUUUAAGCGAGGAGGAGGCUACCUAGAUUAAUACUCUGGGAUAGUGGACGUUACUCGCAGAAUAAGCACCGGCUAACUCUGUGCCAGCAGCCGCGGUAAUACAGAGGGUGCGAGCGUUAAUCGGAUUUACUGGGCGUAAAGCGUGCGUAGGCGGCUUUUUAAGUCGGAUGUGAAAUCCCCGAGCUUAACUUGGGAAUUGCAUUCGAUACUGGGAAGCUAGAGUAUGGGAGAGGAUGGUAGAAUUCCAGGUGUAGCGGUGAAAUGCGUAGAGAUCUGGAGGAAUACCGAUGGCGAAGGCAGCCAUCUGGCCUAAUACUGACGCUGAGGUACGAAAGCAUGGGGAGCAAACAGGAUUAGAUACCCUGGUAGUCCAUGCCGUAAACGAUGUCUACUAGCCGUUGGGGCCUUUGAGGCUUUAGUGGCGCAGCUAACGCGAUAAGUAGACCGCCUGGGGAGUACGGUCGCAAGACUAAAACUCAAAUGAAUUGACGGGGGCCCGCACAAGCGGUGGAGCAUGUGGUUUAAUUCGAUGCAACGCGAAGAACCUUACCUGGCCUUGACAUACUAGAAACUUUCCAGAGAUGGAUUGGUGCCUUCGGGAAUCUAGAUACAGGUGCUGCAUGGCUGUCGUCAGCUCGUGUCGUGAGAUGUUGGGUUAAGUCCCGCAACGAGCGCAACCCUUUUCCUUACUUGCCAGCAUUUCGGAUGGGAACUUUAAGGAUACUGCCAGUGACAAACUGGAGGAAGGCGGGGACGACGUCAAGUCAUCAUGGCCCUUACGGCCAGG